rnacentral:rRNA from 1 species
GAUGAACGCUGACAGAAUGCUUAACACAUGCAAGUCUACUUGAAUUUGGGUUUUUUAACUUAGAUUUGGGUGGCGGACGGGUGAGUAACGCGUAAAGAACUUGCCUCACAGUUAGGGACAACAUUUGGAAACGAAUGCUAAUACCUGAUAUUAUGAAUAUAUGGCAUCAUAUAAUUAUGAAAGCUAUAAGCGCUGUGAGAGAGCUUUGCGUCCCAUUAGCUAGUUGGAGAGGUAACGGCUCACCAAGGCGAUGAUGGGUAGCCGGCCUGAGAGGGUGAACGGCCACAAGGGGACUGAGACACGGCCCUUACUCCUACGGGAGGCAGCAGUGGGGAAUAUUGGACAAUGGACCAAGAGUCUGAUCCAGCAAUUCUGUGUGCACGAUGAUGUUUUUCGGAAUGUAAAGUGCUUUCAGUUGGGAAGAAAAAAAUGACGGUACCAACAGAAGAAGUGACGGCUAAAUACGUG